ACCCUACUAUGCUUAACCCUAAACAUCGUUAUAAACCUUAUACUACCUUAUCCGCCCGAGUACUACAAGCGCUAGCUUCAAACCCAAAGGACUUGGCGGUACCCCAGACCCACCUAGAGGAGCCUGUUCUAUAACCGAUAAUCCCCGUUAAACCUCACCACCUCUUGCCAUCAACCGCCUAUAUACCGCCGUCGUCAGCUCACCCCAUGAGGGGAUAAAAGUAAGCAAAAUGAGUCAACCCUCAAUACGUCAGGUCGAGGUGUAGCGAAUGAAGUGGAAAGAAAUGGGCUACAUUUUCUAUUAAGAAAAAACGAACAGUACAAUGAAAAAUUACUCAAAGGUGGAUUUAGCAGUAAGAAAGUCUUAGAAUAUCAUCCUGAAACCGGCUCUGGGGUGCGCACACACCGCCCGUCACUCUCCUCGACACAAAACAUUUCCUAUAUAAACAAACAGCCCCCUAAAGAGGAGGCAAGUC
rnacentral:rRNA from 1 species